AUGGGGGUGCUCGCGGGGGAGCUUGGUAGGAGGGAUAGGUGGCCUCGAUGCGGUCGCGCCACCUGUCGCCGGCAUGGUUUGCCGGUCCGGAUGCGUCCGCUCCUCCUUCUCCCCCUUUCCCCGUGCUCGGCGGGGAGCUUCGUUGGAGGGAUGGGUGGCCUCGAUGCGGUCGCGUCACCUGUCGCCGGCACGGUUUGCUGGUCCGGAUUCGUCCGCUCCCCUUUCUCCCCCUUUCCUCGGCCGUGGGCGGGUUGGCACAGGUUUACCAGCGGAGCAUCUGCGGGUGGUUCCGUCAGUCGAGGGCCAUCGGUUGGUCCAAAGUUGGGGCCUUUGUGUGGGUCUCGGGGUUGUCUGGUUGCAGGGCGGCGGCUCUGGCGGCGGGAGGCGCGACGUUCGUGGGCGGAGCGUGCGUCUCAGGUGCGGGCAGGCAAACAUGACCGCGUGGGUGGCGUGGUUGCGGGCGGAUGA
rnacentral:rRNA from 1 species